rnacentral:rRNA from 1 species
UACGAACCGUACAAACGUUUAUUCGGAAUCACUGGGCUUAAAGGGUGCGUAGGCGGCCAUGUAAGUGAGGUGUGAAAUCCCUCGGCUCAACCGAGGAACUGCGCUUCAUACUGCAUGGCUUGAGGGAGACAGGGGUAAGCGGAACUGAUGGUGGAGCGGUGAAAUGCGUUGAUAUCAUCAGGAACACCGGUGGCGAAAGCGGCUUACUGGGUCUCUUCUGACGCUGAGGUACGAAAGCUAGGGGAGCGAAAAGG